rnacentral:rRNA from 1 species
GUGGGGAAUUUUGGACAAUGGGCGCAAGCCUGAUCCAGCAAUGCCGCGUGCAGGAAGAAGGCCUUCGGGUUGUAAACUGCUUUUGUACGGAACGAAACGGUCCGGGUUAAUACCCUGGGCUAAUGACGGUACCGUAAGAAUAAGCACCGGCUAACUACGUGCCAGCAGCCGCGGUAAUACGUAGGGUGCAAGCGUUAAUCGGAAUUACUGGGCGUAAAGCGUGCGCAGGCGGUUUUGUAAGACAGGCGUGAAAUCCCCGGGCUCAACCUGGGAAUUGCGCUUGUGACUGAAAGGCUGGAGUGCGGCAGAGGGGGAUGGAAUUCCGCGUGUAGCAGUGAAAUGCGUAGAUAUGCGGAGGAACACCGAUGGCGAAGGCAAUCCCCUGGGCCUGCACUGACGCUCAUGCACGAAAGCGUGGGGGGCAAACAGGAUUAGAUACCCGUGUAGUCC